GACGAACGCUGGCGGCGUGCUUAACACAUGCAAGUCGAACGGAAAGGCCCUGCUUUUGUGGGGUGCUCGAGUGGCGAACGGGUGAGUAACACGUGAGUAACCUGCCCUUGACUUUGGGAUAACUUCAGGAAACUGGGGCUAAUACCGGAUAGGAGCUCCUGCUGCAUGGUGGGGGUUGGAAAGUUUCGGCGGUUGGGGAUGGACUCGCGGCUUAUCAGCUUGUUGGUGGGGUAGUGGCUUACCAAGGCUUUGACGGGUAGCCGGCCUGAGAGGGUGACCGGCCACAUUGGGCCUGGGAUACGGCCCAGACGCCUACGGGAGGAAGCAGUGGGGAAUAUUGCAAAAUGGGCGGAGGCCUGAUGCAGCAACGCCGCGUGCGGGAUGACGGCCUUCGGGUUGUAAACCGCUUUCGCCUGUGACGAAGCGUGAGUGACGGUAAUGGGGAAAGAAGCACCGGCGAACUACGU
rnacentral:rRNA from 1 species